GAAACUCUGAAAUUCUCCUCUCACUUUCACAUAUAAGCCUCUCUGAGCUUAUGUGCUGGAUUUUAGACACACCAGAAGAUGGCAUCAGAUCCCAUUACAGAUGGUUGUGACCCACCAUGUGGCUGCUGGGAAUUGAACUCAAGACCUCUGGAAGAACAGUCAGUGAUCUUAACUGCUGAGCCAUCUCUCCAACCCAGUUAGUAAACUUUUCACAGUGAAAAUCCAUUGCUGGAUUUUAAAUUAAUGCUGCUCAUUGACCCUGUCCUGCAUGUAUAUGAUGCAGUCUGAUCACUCUGCCCUGCUCUCUUCUCUCCCUUCUGUCUUCUGUCUCCUCCUCCAUACCUAUUCCUUUUCAGAUUCAUGACUUUUGGUGACCCAUUUCGGAUCAACCACGGCCAUUUAUAAUCAUUGGAUUAGAGUUAUCCUUUGGAGUCUGGUGGGCCCAUCAGUGGAUAGACAACUGAAGGCAAGGACAGCCCCAUCUCCUUGAAGCAUUUAAUAGCAAAUGUGAGUAAAUAGUUCAUCUGGGAGAAGUAGGGCCUUCUGAACUCCUCCCCCAUUCAGUUCAACUGCUGGCUGACUGGCUAAUCCUUGUGUAAAUCUAGUGGAUGCAUCCCCAGCUGCUGUGAGUUUGGGAUUGCAAUGGCUGUGUCUUGCUUGGCAUUACCCAAUUCUUUUCCUGUUUUCUGGAUACGAUACUCUUUUUUGUCUCUUCUUCCUUAACAUUCUCUCAGCCUUCGGAGGGCAAGUGUAGAUGUCUUGUUCCGGGAUCAGUACUCAUCUGUCAUGUAUUCUUGGUACCUUGUGAAGCUGUGAGUCUCAUCUGUCAUGUACUCUCGGUGCCUGUGAAACCCCGAGUCUUUACCAUUGUUCACUGAUGAGGCUUCUCUGAUGAAGGCUAACAGUAGCUUUUGCUUACAGGUAAAGACCAACAUUUAGAAGGCAGCUUGAUGCUUUGUCAAUUUUGCUUAAAAACAGUAUUCAGUUACUCACUCCCAGUACCUAUGACUUCUUUAGCUACGGGUUUCCCCUCAGGUCUUUGGUACCAGGCUUGGAUUCCCUCUUGUGAAACUGGCCUCAAUUCCAGUUAGAGAGCUGUUGGUUAGUGUACCCAACACCCAGAAUGCCACUACUGAACAAGUGGGCACAGUUUGCUUGGUGGAUGGCCUCAUGGCUCACAGGGUUAACAGCUGGAUAAGAUCAACGAUGCUCUCUCCCUUAGCAGCUUUCAGAACAUCUUCUGGAACCACCAAAGCUAGCUGGCAGAGAGGAAGCUUCUAGCUCAGUUCUAGCUUGAUUUCUCUAUGUCAUAUAUAUAUUCUUCAACAAUAGGGUCUCCUAUAAUCUGGUUCUGGUAGGCAAUCAUGAGGAAUGACAAGAACCUGCAUAGUUCUGGGGAUUUCUGGUGCCUUCAAUCAAUAACCCAUAAGGAGGUGUUCAGGCCUGGCACUGGAAAUUUUGUUAAAUAACUCCCAAAGUCUAGAAGCUUCAUUUCCCAGUCAUGUAAGAUGAUUGCCUUCUAACUCAAUCUCUCUCUCUCUCUCUCUCUCUCUCUCUCUCUAUAUAUAUAUAUAUAUAUAUAUAUAUAUAUAUGUAUGUAUAUGUAUAUAUAAUUUUUUUCUCCCCCAAAUCUAAGCAUGCUUAUCUCUGAUUAAAGUGAAAAGGGCUUGUAGCUUUUACACAAUUAUCCUAGUUAAGAAACAUGACACCACCCCCCACCACCACCACCAAAAGGAACUUUUGGAACUAUAUCCUACGAAUAUGUAGCAGGCAAAUACCAAAUGCUCAGCCUUCUGAAGCCAGUGGCUAACUACACAUCACACACCCCAUCUGAUGCCAGAUAAGCACAGCAUCCUGACCCAGCCCAUCCCUAAGACUCUUGGUAUUCUCUUUCAAGAGAGAGAGAGAGAGAGAGAGAGAGAGAGAGAGAGAGAGAGAGAGAGAGAGAGAACGAAUAAUCUAACAUCAUUAAUGCACAAGAAGCAAACAUUCUAGGUCAUUUAUAAUUCUUUAUGAUUCUUGAGUAAUGAAUCCAGGAAGGAAAGUGGCCGGACAUUCUAAGUGGAGGUGAGGUGUGGGGUGGAAGGACACAGGAUGGGGGUGGGGCAGUCAUUAGCGCAGUCAGGUUUGCUCACCUUUGUGGCUUCACCCCCAGAGCUUUUUCUUGUGCUAUUUUUGCUUAUAACCCCCACUGUUCCCUCAGAGAGUCCUCAUUUUGCUCAGGCACACAUAAGGACCUGCUGCCCACAUCAACAUAUAAAAAGAGAGAACAAUAUUAUUAAAAAAAAAUCUGUUAUUACUUCCAUUAUCUACAUUUUGCUUUUUAGAAUUUGUAUUUCUAAAUUUUCUUUGUUUCUUUGUUUCUCUCUCUCUCUCUCUCUCUCUCUCUCUCUCUCUCUCCCUCUCUGUCUGUCUGUCUGUCUGUCUUUGGUUCCUAAGAAGUAGACAGUAAGACUGAAGGAGCUGAAGGGGUUAGCAACCCAUAGGAAGAACAAUAUCAACCAACCAGACCCUCCCCCCACAGAGCUUCAGGAACUAAACCACCAACCAAAGAGUAGACAUGGAGGGACCCAUGGCUCCAGCUGCAUAUGUUAGCCUUGUCAAACAUCAAUGAGAGGAGAGGCCCUUGGACCUGUGAAGGCUUGAUGUCCCAGUGUAGGGGAAUGCCAGGUCAGGGAGGUGGGAGUGGGUGCGUGGGUGGGGGAACACCCUCAUAGAAGCAGGGGGAGAGGGGACGGGAUAGGGGGUUUCCGGAGGGGGAACCAGGAAAGGGGAUAACAUUUGAACUGUAAAUAAAUAAAAUAUCCAAUAAAAAGAAAAAGGAAAAAAGAAAAGAAAAGAGAGAGUGGAAAAAAAGAAGUAGACAGUAAGAGUUGCUGUAAGAAUUUAGAACCUGCCACACAAGCUACAGAACUGGCACACAACUGGGUGAGUGGGCAGGAAGGCUCCUUUCUUCACGCACCGUGGGACCAAGCUGGAGAGAAGCAGGAGUAAGAGGAGAGAGAAGAGAAGGAAAAUAUAAGAUCACUACUUUUCUUUGAACCAAGAGGAUCCAAACCACCAGGAAAAUGCCUGAGUUGGGUAGGAAGGCAAGUAUCCCCGUGGAGAGACAUGGACUGGAGGGCCCUGGGGCAGGUAGAGAAAGGAACAGCCUCCGCAGGAGCCUGGAGAGGGCUGCUGUCUUCUCCCAGUGUGUUCCUACCUCUGUGUUUCAUUUAAUUUUCUCUCAGUAAGUGGCAAAACACCUCCCAAACCAAACCACGCAGCGAAAGGAAAGAAGGUGAAAUUUAAUAUGCUUUAUCUCAAAACAACAUCAAAAUGUUACAUAAAUCAAUAUAAAAUCAGCAUAACUCAUACAAGUAUGAAUCAAGCUUGUUGGGAGGGUAGAUCUUUCCAAAUGUGGUCAAGAUGGUAACUCUGAGGUGACAGAAGAGCUACUGAGGUGGUUAUAACACACUUCUAUGUCAACCUCAGUGGUGACUUUGCCAUUUACAGCAUAGCUUAACUUCAUUAUUUUCAAUGGAACUGUCUGUUAAUAGAAUUCGCAGUUGAGGAAGUAGGUUGUCAGACUCCUGUGUUCAUAGCCAGGUUGAUUUAAAGGUUUUUAAAUACCCGAGCUGAACAUCUGCUGUUGUAUUUAAAUUACUUUAAUUCAUACGAAUGAAUUAAAAUCCAACUUUCAACUUUUCAGAGGUGCUCAGAACACCCAGUCCCCCAUUUCGCCUGCUUGUGGGCUGAGGUCAGAGUAAACCCCAACCUGUCUCCAUCCUCUGUUCAGGCACAGGACUUAGUUGAAGUUUGGCUUCUGAGCACCAAGUACAGUAGGGUUUAUUUCUUCGCAGCAUGCAGCUGCCACCUAGUGGCCACUUUCUGAAUGUCACAUGGAGAUUACCAGGAGAACAAUCAUGGCACUUCAGCCUUGCUCUGAGGACCAGGAGACAUUCCUCUACUGGGGACCUGUGUGGCACUGUACUGCUGAUGUGUCCUUGUGGCUUGAAGGCUGUAUUAGCAACUUCUGGAGACUAAGAGAUGACCAUCAUUUUCCAUACCCCUAAGGUGUUUGUAGAACAAUGAAUAUACCCCAAUAUCCUCCAUGCCCCGGAGACAACUCCGUGCAGAAGUUAAAGUCACUACUCUCCUCUGUGCUAAAUUCUAUUGCAGCUUCUGAAUAUUUUGUUUGCUUGAAAAUUUCCUUCUAUUAGUAGUAAAACUGGUGACAUCACAGGCCUGCCUUUCCUCAUAGUGUAUUAGGAGUCCGUCCAACAAUUAUGGUUGGGUAAAUGGAUGGACUGUCUAGCUACCAGUUCCUGGUCCUUUCUAGAACUAGUAGUACUUUUUUUUUAAGGGUUUAUUUAUUUUAUAUAUGUGAGUACACUGUUGUUGUCUUCAGACAUACCAGAAGAGGGCAUUGGGUUCCAUUACAGGUGGUUGUGAGCCACCAUGUGGUUGCUGGGAUUUGAACUCAGGAACUUCAGAAGAGCAGUCAGUGCACUUAACCGCUGAGCCAUCUCUCCAGUCCAGAGUUGUGAUUCUUUGAAUGCAAUUUUUGUGUAUCUGGCAAAAAAUGCCCUUCAGCAAAUUUGCAUAAUUAAAAAAUCUUUAUAAGCCUUAUUACCUUGCUUUAUCUUGACAUCAGUGUAUAUUACACUGUCCUUUAGAAAAACAAACAAGCAUAAUGUUCUUUGCCUCAGAAAUGGGGAUGGGGGUGGGAUAACUCCUGGUGGCAAAGACAGGCUUUUUUUCCCCAUUUGUUCCACUAUCUCCGUACUAACAUGUUUCACAGAUGCGAAAGUAGUCACUUCCUUCCCUAUCAAAAAAAAAAAAAAAAAAAAAAGUUCCAAAUACAAAAUAACGCGCCCAAAUUUUAGAACUUCAAACCACAUUAGAUUCACCAGUCUCUGCUUUCUGAGUUUGCAUACAACUUGAGCAGCUGCCUCAAGCUCCUGACACCAGGACCUCCCUGCCAGGAAGGGCUGUAUUAUUUAAUGAACUGUGGGCUGACAUAACCUGGCUCCCCAACAACCUCUCCAAAACCCUUAAAAGCAAACAAACACAUGAACCCCUACUUUAAUAUGUUGAGUAUUUCCUGUGUCCUGUAUAAUGAGCAUCAACUAACUUGACCAAAACUACUCUUAUUAAGGUCAACAUUUAAUUGGGGCUGGUUUACAGGUUCAGAGGUUCAGUCGAUUAUCAUCAAGAUGGGAGCAUGACAGCAUCCCGGCAGGCAUGGUGCAGGCAGAGCUGAGAGUUCUACAUCUUCAUCCAAAGGCGGCUAGUGGAAGACUGACUUCCAAGCAACUAGGGUGAGCCCACACCCACAGUGACACACCUAUUCCAACCAGGUCACACCUCCAAAUGGUGCCACUCCCUGGUCCAAGAAUAUACAAACCAUCACAUUCCACUCCCUAGUCCCCAUAGGCUAGUUCAAACACAUGAAUGUAUGGGGGGCCAUAUUUAAACACAGAAUAAUGCAAAAUGCAUUUAGUCCAACUUUCAAAGUCCUCAUAGUCUAUAGCAGUCUCAACAGUGUUAAAAGUCCAAAGUUCAAGGUCUCUUCUGAGAUUUAUCCAAUUACUUAACUGUAAUCCCC
rnacentral:lncRNA from 1 species